AGUAAUACAUAAGUAACCUGCCCUAGACAGGGGGAUAACUAUUGGAAACGAUAGCUAAGACCGCAUAGGUACGGACACUGCAUGGUGACCGUAUUAAAAGUGCCUCAAAGCACUGGUAGAGGAUGGACUUAUGGCACAUUAGCUGGUUGGCGGGGUAACGGCCCACCAAGGCGACGAUGCGUAGCCGACCUGAGAGGGUGACCGGCCACACUGGGACUGAGACACGGCCCAG
rnacentral:rRNA from 1 species